rnacentral:rRNA from 1 species
UCGCCUGUUUUACAAAAACAUGUCUUUUUGAAUUAUAUAUAAAGUCUAACCUGCCCACUGAAAAUUUUAAAUGGCCGCAGUAUUUUGACUGUGCAAAGGUAGCAUAAUCAUUAGUCUUUUAAUUGAAGGCUGGAAUGAAUGGUUGGACGAAAUAUUAACUGUUUCAUUUAAAAUUUUUAUAGAAUUUUAUUUUUUAGUCAAAAAGCUAAAAUUUAUUUAAAAGACGAGAAGACCCUAUAAAUCUUUAUAUUUUUUUUUAUUUUAAUUAUAUAGAUUAAUUAAAUUUUAAUAAAUAAAAAUAUUUUAUUGGGGUGAUAUUAAAAUUUAAAAAACUUUUAAUUUUUUAAAAACAUAAAUUUAUGAAUAUUUGAUCCAUUAAUAAUGAUUAAAAAAUUAAGUUACUUUAGGAUAACAGCGUAAA